rnacentral:rRNA from 1 species
AUUUUGGACAAUGGGCGCAAGCCUGAUCCAGCCAUGCCCCGUGAGUGAAGAAGGCCUNNNGGUUGNACAGCUCUUUCGGUCGGNAAANAAUCGCGCAUGCUAAUAUCCUGCGCGUAUGACGGUACCGUCAUAAGAAGCACCGGCUAACUCCGUUCCAGCAGCCGCGGUAAUACGCAGGGUGCGAGCGUUAAGCGGAAUUACUGGGCGUAAAGCGGAAGCAGGCGGUUGAGUAAGACAGGCGUGAAAGCCCAGGGCUUAACCUGAGAAGUGGGAUUGUGACUGGACAGCUAGAGUACGGGAGAGGGGGGUGGAAUUCCACGUGUAGCAGUGAAAUGCGUAGAGAUGUGGAGGAACACCGAUGGCGAAGGCAGCCCCCUGGGCCGAUACUGACGCUCAUGCACAAAAGCGUGGGUAGCAAACAGG